UACAGAGGUCUCAAGCGUUGUUCGGAUUCAUUGGGCGUAAAGGGUGUGUAGGUGGCGCGCUAAGUCGGGUGUGAAAUCUCGGAGCUUAACUCCGAAACUGCAUUCGAUACUGCCGUGCUUGAGGACUGGAGAGGAGACUGGAAUUUACGGUGUAGCGGUGAAAUGCGCAGAUAUCAGGAGGAACACCGGUGGCGAAGGCGGUUCUCUGGGCAUUACCUGACGCUGAGGAGCGAAAGUGUGGGGAGCGAACAGG
rnacentral:rRNA from 1 species